rnacentral:rRNA from 1 species
CCUACGGGUUGCAGCAGUGGGGAAUAUUGCACAAUGGGCGCAAGCCUGAUGCAGCCAUGCCGCGUGUAUGAAGAAGGCCUUAGGGUUGUAAAGUACUUUCAGUUGGGAGGAAGGCGCCAAGGUUAAUAACCUUGGCGAUUGACGUUACCCGCAGAAGAAGCACCGGCUAACUCCGUGCCAGCAGCCGCGGUAAUACGGAGGGUGCAAGCGUUAAUCGGAAUUACUGGGCGUAAAGCGCACGCAGGCGGUCUGUCAAGUCGGAUGUGAAAUCCCCGGGCUCAACCUGGGAACUGCAUUCGAAACUGGCAGGCUAGAGUCUUGUAGAGGGGGGUAGAAUUCCAGGUGUAGCGGUGAAAUGCGUAGAGAUCUGGAGGAAUACCGGUGGCGAAGGCGGCCCCCUGGACAAAGACUGACGCUCAGGUGCGAAAGCGUGGGGAGCAAACAGGAUUAGAUACCCUUGUAGUC